ensembl:Y_RNA Y_RNA Y RNA
GGCUGGUCUAAGUACAGUGGUACUUACAACGAGUUGAUCACAACCAGUUACAGAUUUCUUUGUUCCUUCACUCCCGCUGUUUCACUUGACUAGUAUUUA